rnacentral:rRNA from 1 species
UACGAAGGGGGCUAGCGUUGCUCGGAAUGACUGGGCGUAAAGGGUGCGUAGGCGGCUUUUUAAGUUUGGUGUGAAAUCUCCCGGCUCAACUGGGAGGGUGCGCCGAAUACUGAGAGGCUAGAGUGUGGGAGAGGAAAGUGGAAUUCCUGGUGUAGCGGUGAAAUGCGUAGAUAUCAGGAGGAACACCGGUGGUGUAAACGGCUUUCUGGACCAUAACUGACGCUGAGGCACGAAAGCGUGGGUAGCAAACAGG